GAUUAUGAUGAUCAUAAAUGUAAACGUUAAGCAUUUACUUAGAAAUAUUGCUUUAAUUGUUAGAAAUUUACAUAGGUGAUUAAAAUAAGUAGUUAACGUCUUUCUUUUAAUGGGGACGAUUAGUUCCUUUUUAGGAAUUAAACUGAGGUAGUAUAAUUGAACGCACCUAUAGAAUCCAUAAUGCAUCCAUAAUAUAGAAAUAAUUUUUAUCUAUGGAUCUUCCUGUUGUCUAUCGUCUGUCAUCUCCUCACUCAUCCUGUCUGUAGACGCGACGUUUGCCGGUUAGUUGCUGUAUUGCUCUUCUUUAAUGGAAGCGAUGUUUGAAGACAUGACUUGGAGAUGGCGUUGUUGGAUUAGAUUGCCGAACAAUUUACGGAUGUAGUGUUUUUAGCAGUCAGACACUUAUUUUUUAUUUCCAAGAAUGCUUCCAGUGAGCUGGUCGAAAAAUUCUGUAGACAUCGGAUGUGAAUGAUGUUUCUAUUAAAAUUUAAUAAAUAAGCACAGAGAGGGCAAACCAAAAGGACUUCAAAACGUGAAGAUACAGAGCCCCAUUCAUGCUUUUUCUACUUGGUCUUAGAGAGGUGGCAUUCGUAUGAAGGGUCGUCAUUUCAGCAUAUAAAGGAACGUCGUCGAUAUGACAAAUAAGGGCUGGAUACUUGGAGAAGUACAGUGCUGUUAAUGUUGUCUCUCCUGGACCUGAGGAUCUUCUGUAGAAAAGGUUAUCAUUUAAAAUUAUUAAAUGAACAAGGAGACAAAAAACAAGAAGGAUUCCAAACAUGGAGAAGUGGAGCCCUGUUAAUGUUCCGUCCUUUUAGAUUUGAAAAGUGCAAUUUUUUGAGAACAAAUGAAGUCCAAUUCACAUUGAUGUAUUUAGGAAUAAAACUUGAGCAUCGUACAAUUAACCUCGAGAUCGUUCAAAUGGUGAGAAAGGAAGAAUUAAUGUUCAGAUUGAUGGUAUUGCAACAGCCAAUGUCUUGUCUUGAUUUGCUGUUUUCGUCUUCAACUUGCAACAUUAUGCAGUUAAUAUUCAACCGAUGAGUGUGAGCCAGAGAAGAUUUAUAUAAAUCUCACUGAAACAAGUUUUCUGCUAUGAUAUUCCUUCUGGAUUUAGUUUGCUUUUCACACAUGCAAACUUGGGAACUUUACAGUAGUCUACUGUUUGCUAAGGUGAGAAUAUUUAAUAUAAUUACUAUUAAUUGCUCUUUAUUAAUCUGUUACCACCGUAUCUGUUUCAGAUCGACGUUGGAGAAGACAAAGAUGACCCCGUAGUUAAAAUAGUUCUUUUGUCUUGCAUGCUCUACCAAAUAGAAAUAAUUCUUUUAGUCCAAAUUCAGAUUAAUUUUUUAUUUUGAAUGUUUUUUUUUU
rnacentral:lncRNA from 1 species